UAAGGAAUAUUGCGCAAUGGGCGCAAGCCUGACGCAGCAACGCCGCGUGGGCGAUGAAGGCCUUCGGGUUGUAAAGCCCUUUUCUGGGGGAUGAGACCAGGACAGUACCCCAGGAAUAAGUGUCGGCUAACUACGUGCCAGCAGCCGCGGUAAAACGUAGGACACGAGCGUUAUCCGGAUUUACUGGGCGUAAAGCGUGUGCAGGCGGCUCGGUCAGUCGGACGUGAAAGCUCCCGGCUCAACUGGGAGAGGCCGUUCGAGACUGCCGGGCUUGAGGGCAGGCGAGGAGCGUGGAAUUCCGGGUGUAGUGGUGAAAUGCGUAGAGAUCCGGAGGAACACCAGUGGCGAAGGCGGCGCUCUGGACUGCCCCUGACGCUCAGACACGAAAGCUAGGGGAGCGAACGGGAUUAGAUACCCCCGUAGUCC
rnacentral:rRNA from 1 species